AGCAAUACUUAGUGGCGAACGGGUGAGUAUAAUAUGGGAAUCUGCCCUUUGGUUUGGAAUAACACGAGGAAACUUGUGCUAAUACUGAAUAAGCCUUUACAGGGAAAGCUUUAUGCGCCGAUGGAUGAGCCCGUACUUGAUUAGCUAGUUGGUAAGGUAAAAGCUUACCAAGGCUACGAUCAAUAGCUGAUCUGAGAGGAUGAUCAGCCACAUUGGGACUGAGACACGGCCCAAACUCCUACGGGAGGCAGCAGUGGGGAAUCUUGCACAAUGGGGGAAACCCUGAUGCAGCGAUGCCGCGUGAGUGAAGAAGGCCCUUGGGUUGUAAAGCUCUUUCGUCGGGGAAGAAAAUGACUGUACCCGAAUAAGAAGGUCCGGCUAACUUCGUGCCAGCAGCCGCGGUAAUACGAAGGGACCUAGCGUAGUUCGGAAUUACUGGGCUUAAAGAGCACGUAGGUGGUUAAAAUAGUUGGUGGUGAAAUCCCAAGGCUCAACCUUGGAACUGCCACCAAAACUUUUUAACUUGAGUAUGAUAGAGGUAAGCGGAAUUUCUAGUGUAGAGGUGAAAUUCGUAGAUAUUAGAAAGAACACCAAUUGCGAAGGCAGCUUUCUGGAUCAUUACUGACACUGAGGUGCGAAA
rnacentral:rRNA from 1 species